AUUCAGCUGAUGAGUUCUAAAAAGGAUGAAACGCGCAUCCUGGAU
rnacentral:hammerhead_ribozyme from 1 species